rnacentral:tRNA from 1 species
GCGCCAUUGGUGUAAUGGUAACAUGACUGCCUUCCAAGCAGUAGUCGGGAGUUCAAUCCUCCUAUGGCGCUCCA